rnacentral:rRNA from 1 species
CCGUCGUAUGAUGCGAUGGGGGGACGGAUCGCGGAAGGUUGUCUGACUGUUGGAAUAGUCAGUUUCUGUCUCAUAGAAGGCACUUAGGCAAAUCCGGGUGCGGAAUUCAAGGGGAUGGGACGAGUGAGCUUGCUCACGAAGCAAUCGGAAGUGGUUCCAAGAAAAGCCUCUAAGCUUCAGUCAUACGAGACCGUACCGCAAACCGACACAGGUGGGCGAGAUGAGUA